rnacentral:rRNA from 1 species
CACGUAGGGCGCAAGCGUUGUCCGGAAUUAUUGGGCGUAAAGAGCUCGUAGGCGGUCUGUUGCGUCCGCUGUGAAAUCUCGGGGCUUAACCCCGAGCCUGCAGUGGAUACGGGCAGACUAGAGGUAGGUAGGGGAGAAUGGAAUUCCCGGUGUAGCGGUGAAAUGCGCAGAUAUCGGGAGGAACACCGGUGGCGAAAGCGAGGUCCUGGACGUCCGCUGACGCUGAGACGCGAAAGCCAGGGGAGCGAACGGG